rnacentral:rRNA from 1 species
CCUACGGGAGACAGCAGUGAGGAAUAUUGGUCAAUGGACGAGAGUCUGAACCAGCCAAGUAGCGUGAAGGAUGACUGCCCUAUGGGUUGUAAACUUCUUUUAUAAAGGAAUACAACGAGGCACGUGUUCCUUUUUGCAUUUACUUUAUGAAUAAAGAUCGGCUAAAUCCGCGCCAGCAGCCGCGGUAAUACGGAGGGUUCGAGCGUUACCCGGAUUUAUUGGGUUUAAAGGGAGCGUAGAUGGGUUGUUAAGUCAGUUGUGAAAGUUUGCGGCUCAACCGUAAAAUUGCAAUUGAUACUGGCAGUCUUGAGUGCAGUUGAGGUAGGCGGAAUUCGUGGUGUAGCGGUGAAAUGCUUAGAUAUCACGAAGAACCCCGAUUGCGAAGGCAGCUUACUAAACUGUGACUGACAUUGAUGCUCGAAAGUGUGGGUAUCAAACAGGAUUAGAUACCCCAGUAGUC